GGAGGCUGCAGGGACUUGCUGACAGGCCAUCCAAAGACAGAGAGGCCCUGGGGAGGGAAAUUCGGGGAGCCCGUGUGCUUAGCGUAGCGCCCCGGGAAAUAUUUGCCCAAUAAGGGAGAGUUUGUCCCCACACUGCGGCAGAACCCCCCUGCGAGCUCUGACCCCAGCAGCACGGCCAAGCCCCCCCAACCCCGCUCCCCCCUUUAGGGGACAGGUAUUUGUAAAUAACAACUGAGCUGGUCGUCGGUAGGAGAAUCAGAUUAGAAACAUGGUCCCCACUCUCUUCCUAUCUCCCCAGCACUCAUCACCUCACAAAGCAGGGGGGGACCUGUUUACUUUUCCUGGCGCUCUCCCCCAGGCUAGAACGUGAUCUUCUUCCUACGCAGGGACAGUGUUUUAUUCAUCUUUGUACCCACUGCCAUCUCAUCUGGCUUGGAACAGGCUCCGGAUAAAUAUUUUUUAAAUAUGUGCAUGAAUUAAUGAGAGACUCGAGAUUUAGUCCCCAAACUCUCUGACCUCCCUCGAGUGACUUUAAGCCUUUAGAGCCCUUAUCUGUUAAGAAAAAAAGAAAAAAAUGUGGGUUUUUCGUAAUCCUCGUAAUCCGCGCCCUGUCUACUUCUCUGGGGUUAUUGUGAAGAUCAAAUAAGGUACUGUGAAAUUGUGCAGGACAUUCACAGAUGAACAAGUCACAGGGCAAGUUGGACACAUCAAUAGCUCAUGCGUUGAUGUGGACCUAUGAUGGCUUCAGAGACUAUUAACUUGGCCAGGCUCAACUGCAUUUCCUGGAAUUAUCUUUCCUGCAUGUUUGCAGUUCAGAUGGACCACAGGGAAGAUUCUUGGAAGGUUCUUGCAAGAUUCAGAAGGCAAGAGAGGCUGCAGCCGUGUUUUGCAGUUGACACACGUUGCUGCUGAUCUGCUGACUCACCUCACUGGAGUGAAGCAGCCUGCCACAACACCCGCAACCUUCCCCGGCAACUUCUUGCUACUUUUCGACUCCCAGCCGCGUGUAUGUGUUCAGCUCUGUGAUGAAGGGCUAGGCUUCUGCAGGACAGCCUCACCACUGUGGUCAGAGGCAACAAGAAUAGCCACGGGCUUCAGGCUGCCAUCCUGGGGCUCUAGCUUGUGCUCGUGGGUUCUUGCUCUCCCUACUUGACAUCUGCCUUUCCUCUCGACUGCCUAUCCUGUGGACCUGACACCAGCAUCAGACUUGACACGCAGCCUGACAAAGACUGCUUACCCGGUUCCCACAAAUGCAUAAGCCAAUUCUCCAUAACAAAUCCCAUAAAAUAAUUUACAUGUAUAUAACUCCUAUUUCCACUUUUCCAGUUGAACUCCGGCAGAUUUACCCAUCCUGUGCUAGGCACUGUUGAGGACUCUGAGGAUACAAUGAUGAACAAAACCAGUGUAAUUCCUGUCUUCCUCUCCCCCACCCCACCAUUCACUUUCUAGGAGGAGGAAUCAGAAAAUAAACAACGAAUAAACAAUGCAA